rnacentral:rRNA from 1 species
GGGAGGCAGCAGUGGGGAAUAUUGCACAAUGGGCGAAAGCCUGAUGCAGCGACGCCGCGUGAGGGAUGACGGCCUUCGGGUUGUAAACCUCUUUCAGCAGGGAAGAAGCGCAAGUGACGGUACCUGCAGAAGAAGCGCCGGCUAACUACGUGCCAGCAGCCGCGGUAAUACGUAGGGCGCAAGCGUUGUCCGGAAUUAUUGGGCGUAAAGAGCUCGUAGGCGGCUUGUUGCGUCGGAUGUGAAAGCCCGGGGCUUAACCCCGGGUCUGCAUUCGAUACGGGCAGGCUAGAGUUCGGUAGGGGAGAUCGGAAUUCCUGGUGUAGCGGUGAAAUGCGCAGAUAUCAGGAGGAACACCGGUGGCGAAGGCGGAUCUCUGGGCCGAUACUGACGCUGAGGAGCGAAAGCGUGGGGAGCGAACAGGAUUAGAUACCCUGGUAGUCCACGCCGUAAACGUUGGGAAAUGGGUGUGGCGACAUUCCACGUCGCCUCCCUUCCUCCGAUAAGUCCCCGCCGGGAGAGGCGCAGCU